GUAGGUGUGGUGAAGUUGGUUAACACGUACGACUGUGAAUCGUAUAUUCGCGGGUUCGAAUCCCGUCAUCUACCCCA
rnacentral:tRNA from 1 species